AAAUUCUCAGGAUCGAGUAGCU
rnacentral:snRNA from 1 species